UUGGAGUCUUUCUUUGAUCAAUGGGAGGGAAAAAAACAUUAUGCUUAAAUAGCAGGACAAUUGUUCCUUAUUUAGCUACACUGGCCACAGGGAGAGUUAUAUAAAGCAGCAAUUACCUAUGAAGCAUGGGUUCUUGUGGACCCAGCUGAUCUUUUUAAUAACGUGGCCUUGAGCCCCUACAAACACCUGACCACCACAGUAAUGUGGGCACCAGGAGUCCUUCAGACUCAAGACCUCCAGGCAGGUCCUGAGCUGCCACCAGAGAAGUGAUGUGUGUACCUGUGCCUCCUACCCAUCUCCUUCCUCCUCUGCCAUCCUCACUUGGCACUGGACAGGGUUCAAGAAGAUUCCCCACAGUAGAGAUGAGGAACUGUGAUUUGCCCCACUCACGGGACAGGUUGUGGGUUCACUGAUUUUCUUCACAUAAAAAGAAUUUUCAGAAAGUGUCAGUUGGAGCACAGAGAUUUAUUAGGCAGACGUUUAAAAGUACACUCUCAAAGAAAUACAGCGCAGGCUCUCAAGAGGGAGAGAGGCCCUUGUGGCCUGGAGCUGGACUGCUCAGUGGUUUCUCCCAUCUCUGGAAGCCAGGUUGUUACAUGGAGGACCUCACUGAUCCCAGCCCAGGAGAAGACCAAAGUGAAUGUCCCAGCCACCAGCUGGGCGCAGAAGGACCAGCCA
rnacentral:lncRNA from 1 species